CUCGAGACUACAAUCACAUCCUGACAGCUCUUGGUCCUGGUGUGCUAGAGUCCUUGGAGAAAAUCUGCUGCUCUUGAUUCACAGUCAUUGCCCCCAGCAGUGCCCAGAUCAGACACAUGC
ensembl:snoRNA